AUGGCAAGAGAAAAUGAGGGAUCGCAUCUCCGAGUGGGGAGAGUAGCCUCAACCGGUUCUCACAAUAGGCGGUUGGUUGGUCAGUUUCAUGCACCCCGCACUAUCCAACGUAGAGUAUCUAAACCUGCUUCUGAAUGGACGAGAGAUGAUGAUGAGCCAGUUGAUGUUCAGGCAACAGUUCAGGAUGACACGCAGAUGAUGGCAGAGACAGAGGUGUCACAUCCUUCUGAGACGACAGAGGUGCCCCAUCCUUUUAAGGCAUAG